UGGGGAAUAUUGGACAAUGGGCGAAAGCCUGAUCCAGCCAUGCCGCGUGUGUGAAGAAGGUCUUCGGAUUGUAAAGCACUUUAAGUUGGGAGGAAGGGCAGUUACCUAAUACGUAUCUGUUUUGACGUUACCGACAGAAUAAGCACCGGCUAACUCUGUGCCAGCAGCCGCGGUAAUACAGAGGGUGCAAGCGUUAAUCGGAAUUACUGGGCGUAAAGCGCGCGUAGGUGGUUAGUUAAGUUGGAUGUGAAAUCCCCGGGCUCAACCUGGGAACUGCAUUCAAAACUGACUGACUAGAGUAUGGUAGAGGGUGGUGGAAUUUCCUGUGUAGCGGUGAAAUGCGUAGAUAUAGGAAGGAACACCAGUGGCGAAGGCGACCACCUGGACUGAUACUGACACUGAGGUGCGAAAGCGUGGGGAGCAAACAGGAUUAGAUACCCGGGUAGUCCCUGAGCGGGCUGGCAAGGCGCAU
rnacentral:rRNA from 1 species